UAUCUCUGUAGAGUCUGCAUAUCAAUAAGCGGAGGAAAAGAAACUAACAAGGAUUCCCCUAGUAACGGCGAGUGAAGCGGGAAGAGCUCAAAUUUGAAAUCUUCAAGGUUUGACCUUGACGAAUUGUAGUUUAAAGAAGUGUUUUCGGUUAGAGGAGUAGUAAAAGUUCUUUGGAAUAGGACAUCUUAGAGGGUGAGAAUCCCGUAUUUGACUAUUCUUUCUAGCUUUGUGAUACACUUUCAAAGAGUCGGAUUGUUUGGGAAUGCAGUCCAAAAUGGGUGGUAAAUUUCAUCUAAAGCUAAAUAUUGGCGAGAGACCGAUAGCGAACAAGUACCGUGAGGGAAAGAUGAAAAGAACUUUGAAAAGAGAGUUAAACAGUACGUGAAAUUGUCAAAAGGGAAGCGUUUGACACCAGUGUUGUUUUUCCGAAAAUCAAUUAAAAAUUGAUUCAUGCCAGGUUGUAUUGACCUUAUCAGCUUGCAAUUUGGUUUUGGGUCUCUUUUUGAUGCACUUUUCGGUUAACAAGUCAACAUCAAUUUCCUUUGCUGUAAAAAGGUAAGAGGAAGGUGGCUUCAAUUUCGGUUGAAGUGUUUAUAGCCUUUUAUCUCUGCAGUCGGGGAGAUUGAGGUCUGCAGCGUAGAUCCUUCGGGGCUAGAUACAUUUAUGCUAAGUUAUAGCUUUUCAUAGACAACUUGUUGACUAUGUUUAGUCAUGUAGUUUACUCGUAAGUGCUAUUUUACCUACGCUUAGGAUGUUGAGCGCAUGUCUCUCUCU
rnacentral:rRNA from 1 species